AUAGACAACAAAUAUUAAUCCAUUCACAUGUAACCAUUCUAUGUAGAGAAUGAAUUCAUCAAGCACAAGAAACAUUAAAACACAAAUUAUGCCAACAACCCGUAAAGACAGUUUAUAAAAACUAUCCAAAGUCCCUUAAGAUGAUUUUUUCUAAAGAACCCAAAUAUGGACAUGCACAGAGAAGAAGGUAGGAAAGGUAGGAAGCAUAAUUUUUUUUUUUUUUCAUUUCUAAA
rnacentral:lncRNA from 1 species